GACGUUCUCGAUGAUGUUGGGUUCGGUGAACGAACCGUUCGCAGUCUCCAGCUGAAGCGUCCCUCCGGUAGGCCCCAAGGUAAACUUGAUGUUGCAGUUACGAUCAGACAGCCUCGUUAUCGCGCGCCUGAUCCAUCCUAUGCUCCACCUUACGGUGUCCCACCACCAUCAGCGUCCAGAGAUUAUGCUUAUGGAACUCCAUACUCCGCCGCACCACCACCACCAAAUCCAUACUACACAGCAGCCCCGCCCAGUGGAUAUCCGUACGGUGGGUACAACGCGCCACCGCAACCAGGGCCAAGUUACGGUUACGGAUACAAUUACGGUAGUUCGCAGCAGCCCGUUUAUGCGGAGGGGGAAAAGAAA
rnacentral:lncRNA from 1 species